rfam:Myotis brandtii contig257511, whole genome shotgun sequence.
GGCCUGGUGGCUCAGUUGGUUAGAGCGUUGUCCUGAUAGGCCACGGUUUUGGGUUCAAUCCCUGGUCAGGGCA